GUACUCAGUUCGGAUUGAAGGCUGAAAUUCGCCUUCAUGAAGCUGGAAUUGCUAGUAAUGGCAGGUCAGCAUACUGCCGUGAAUACGUUCCCGGGCCUUGUACACACCGCCCGUCACACCAUGGGAGUCAGUAACGCCCGAAGCCGGUGACCCAACCAGACUUGGAGGGAGCCGUCGAAGGCGGGACGGAUGACUGGGGUGAAGUCGUAACAAGGUAAC
rnacentral:rRNA from 1 species